rnacentral:ncRNA from 1 species
CGGACUUGGUCGAAAAGAUAGUUUUUCCUAGAAGCUGAUGCUUCUUCGUCUAAACUCCUAUUUUGACUGUGUCCG